CUUUUUUCCUCCUUUCUCUGUGUAUGGGGCUCAGAGAUCACACUGUGUCUCUAUGUGAAUAUGGACAGGUCCAUGGUGGUAAAUGCUCAC